UACGGGGGGGGCAAGCGUUGUUCGGAAUUACUGGGCGUAAAGCGUGCGCAGGCGGUUUUGCAAGACAGAUGUGAAAUCCCCGGGCUUAACCUGGGAACUGCAUUUGUGACUGCAAGGCUAGAGUGUGUCAGAGGGAGGUGGAAUUCCGCGUGUAGCAGUGAAAUGCGUAGAGAUGCGGAGGAACACCGAUGGCGAAGGCAGCCUCCUGGGAUAACACUGACGCUCAUGCACGAAAGCGUGGGGAGCAAACAGG
rnacentral:rRNA from 1 species